CUCUUGGGUUCUGUUGGUGACUUGGUUCAGAUGACUUUGGGUCUCAGAUGAUUUUUGGGUCUCAGAUGACUUUGUGGUUCCGAAUUCAAGCCGAAGCUUUGAACCUGUGCUCCGAGAUGCACAACCAGCCAGUCGUGUUUGCAUCAUUUGCAUCAUAGCAUGUUUAUUUUCGAAAAAUAAUGCAAAAAAAAAGAAUGCGAAAAGAAAAGAAAAAAGAAAA
rnacentral:lncRNA from 1 species